AGGCCUGUUAUUUGCCCCAAAUUUAUCCUGCAGCAGGACAAUGACCCCAAACAUACAGCCAAAGUCAUUAAGAACUAUUUUAAGCAUGAAGAAGAACAAGUAGUCCUGGAAGUAAUGGUUUGCCAUGGCCUCCGCACAAC